UCAACAGGAUGUCAUUUAGGUGGAUCAGUUUCUAAUUUACUAAUUGAACUGCAGUAGUAUAACUGAAGGCACCUAUAAAAUGUAUUAUGUAUCUAUGAUAGGUAUAGAAAGAACUUUCAUCUAUAGGUCUUCCGACUCGUCUGUCGUCUCAUCACUCAUCUUGUCAUUCAAUUGUGUUCGGUCCUUGCGAAGACGAUGAACCACCAUUUUUGCUAUGCAUAAAUGGAAACGACGCUUGAAAACUUGCUUUGAGAUGACAUCCUUGGAUACGAUGGACAAACACUACUUACAUAUUUGUGGCAAUCAGACGUAUUUUUAUUUCCAUGAAUGCCUCUAAUGAGCUGGUCAAAAAAUUCAUAGGAUACAGGGUGCUAACAGUGGUUUCCAUUAAAUCAUAAUAAAUGUACAGGGAGAAGAUAAAUCAAAUGGCCACGAAACGUGAGGAAGCAGAACCCCAAUCACGCUUGUUUUUCUUGAGCUUGGAAAGGGAUGCAUUUAAACGUAUUAAAUGAACAAGGAGACAGAAAAUAAGAAGAACUCAAAGCCUAGAGAAGUGGAGCCCUUUAAUUUUCCCUCCCCUUGGGCGUGAAAGUGCAAUUUCCAGAAAAUAUAUGCAAUCCGAAUUACACUGAUGCAUAAAAGGAAGGUUGCGGUGCGAUAUGUGGCUUAUUUCACUUAUUUCCGUUCAUCAGCAUCUACUACUAAGAGGCAUUUCUCUUUUGUGAGCACAUGGAAUAAAACUCGAGCACGUAUAGUGAUCGUCUAGAUCGUCUGACAAAUGGGAGAGAAUUAAAGUUCAGGUUGAUGACUACAAUGUUUGGUGGACUACAUUCUUGAUUUGCUGUUUUCGUCUUCACCUUGCAACAUUAUACAGUCAAUUUUCAAGUGAUGAGUGAGAGCAACUGAAGAUUUAUGUGAAUUCCACUGAAAUAAGAAAUUUUCUGCAUUGGAAUUCCUCUUGGAUUUGAUUUGCUUUGCUUUUCACACCUGCAAACUUUGGAACAUUAUGGUCUACAGUUAAUUAAGAUCGACGUUGGAGAAGACAAAGAUGACCCCUUGGUUAAAACAGUUCUCUAUCUUGCAUGCUAUAUGUAAUAGAAUUCAAGUUCAUUUUAUUCAAAUUAGUUUUUUUAUUAUGCAUGUUUUUUUGUAGUUUAUUUAAAUUAGUUUUUA
rnacentral:lncRNA from 1 species